UACAGAGGGGGCAAGCGUUAUUCGGAAUUAUUGGGCGUAAAGGGCGCGUAGGCGGCUUGGCAAGUGGAUGGUGAAAUCCCUCGGCUUAACCGAGGAACUGCCGUCCAAACUGCUUCGCUUGAGACCGGGAGAGGUGAGUGGAAUUCCCAGUGUAGCGGUGAAAUGCGCAGAUAUCAGGAAGAACACCAAUGGCGAAAGCAGCUUUCUGGGACGGUACUGACGCUGAGACGCGAAAGCGUGGGGAGCGAACAGG
rnacentral:rRNA from 1 species